CUAAUUAUUUAGGCCUUCUCCACAUCCUUGUGUACAAGGUUUAUGUUGAUGGAAUGCCAACAUUAUCCUCUAAAGAAAGGAAGGCCACACUAAGGGAAUUUUAUGCUAUUAUAUACCCUUCUCUUAGGCUGCUUGAGGGAGAGUUCAUUGAAUUGGAAGAUAAACCUAGGAGAAGCGGAGGCACUGAAGUUUUGAGCAGACACAGAGUUGAAGAAAAGAGGAAGCAAUCUGAAAAUGAAUUUGAGGGAGAUUAUGAAUGUGGG
rnacentral:misc_RNA from 1 species